UACGUAGGGUGCGAGCGUUGUCCGGAAUUAUUGGGCGUAAAGGGCUCGUAGGCGGUUUGUCGCGUCGGGAGUGAAAACUCAGGGCUUAACCCUGAGCCUGCUUCCGAUACGGGCAGACUAGAGGUAUGCAGGGGAGAACGGAAUUCCUGGUGUAGCGGUGAAAUGCGCAGAUAUCAGGAGGAACACCGGCGGCGAAGGCGGUUCUCUGGGCAUUACCUGACGCUGAGGAGCGAAAGUGUGGGGGGAGCGAACAGG
rnacentral:rRNA from 1 species